rfam:Picea glauca, whole genome shotgun sequence.
CCGACUUUAGCUCAGUUGGUAGAGCGGAGGACUGUAGUGGGAUAUAAAAUCCUGGUUUGUAAUCCUUAGGUCGCUGGUUCGAAUCCGGCAAGUCGGA